UACCAACAAGCUAGAUUGUCUGCCGUGUCUUCUACUUUCUACGCAUUUCUAUUUUCUCAUUUAUUUAUUUUUUAACGUCCCGGGCUGACCUCGAGUUAGCGAGCGGGGGAAAAAAAAUGUGUCGGUUCAGCCGGCCAAUCAGAUUUAGUGGAGCGAUUGCUUUUUUCUCUUAUUGUUGUUGAUUUUUUGUCAUUAUCCAACGCCUUGAGAUAUAUUCGGGCUGGCACAGAAUAAAGCAGUAAUGGGUCAUGUGGGAUCUCCCCCCGCCAGACCCACCGCCUUAAUGCCCCCCUCCCUGUCUAGACAGUGACAGGUGUGCGUGUGUGAGCACACGCUUGUCUGUAGUUCAGAUCAGAAUAAUGAACCACGCUGAGGGUUAUGUCUAAUGGAUACUUUCAAUAUAUAAUUCAUGUGUGCGGGCCGUGUGUAGUGUACAGGCUGGAGAACGGUCAGCGUGAGCAGCUCUGCAUCUUGAAAGACAAUCUUUUCCUGACAAAGAGGUCAACUGAGGUUACGCUCGUGCAGCCCGUCUCAUAUACAAAGUCCUGCCUCCCGGGCUGCCGUGCGUAACAGGGUGAGAAAAACUUUGAAUUUUUUUUUUCUGUCAGAAGCUGCAGUCUUGAACUUUGCUUUCACAGUCCCACAGCUGUGCAGGGGAGACAGAGGUGUUCCUUCAGAUAACCACCAUCUCUCAAGCUGGGAAGGCUCCGUACGCGUAUUGUUGUGUGAACACCGUGGUGAGCACCCAGGGCACUCAGUUGACUGUGCGCGCCAUCUGCAGGACUGCGAUGUGGAUUAAUACCGCGGGUUCAACGGAGGACACCCUUCCGUCACUGCUUUGACCUACAUUAACCAGGAACACCGUAGGAACACAGCCGCCGGCCUUAAUGCGCUGCUUUGCAAGCCAGCAAUGAUGCAUGUUUCAUAAAAAUAUAUUUUUUUAAUAUUAAUUAAAAGUCAACAUUAUGUCACUUUAGGGUUAUGAGCAUAACGUCCCGUAACGGUCGAUCCGUGUGGUGCACGCCUUCCGGGUGCGAGGUUUCGGAUAUUUCGCUUGAUUAACGCGGCUCAAACCUCAGCACGUGCAGAGAGGAUUCAGCAGAAGAGAACAUUUUGUUUCAGGGAGGCUGAGAGGUUUUGAGAGCUUUGCAUGUUUGACUGGACUUGCCCUUUAUGGCAGCGCACUGUUGAAACUAUGAGGAAAAGAAAACCCCCAAAACAAAAAAACAAACAAAAAAAAAACCCCUCUAAUCCAAAAUGUGCUCUUUUGUAGAACACUUGCAAUGACAGAUAUUUUGCAAACCUUAUCACAAUAUAUGUGCUUUUAUUUUUUUUUAUAAAAUGCAGAGCAGUAAAAAUUACAAAUAUUUAAAGAAAUUACAAUGCAGUUAGGCCUGUACACCUGUUUUAUCUAAUCAAAUCACACAUUAAAAAAUAAAACACAAAAGUAGGUUCUAAAAAUAAAGUGUAAUUAGAUUACAUGUCCCUACAGUUAAAGAAUCUGAACUUUUAGGUAGCCUGUCUUAGAAAAACUAUGGUAAGAUUUAAAAAUAAGUAAAUAAAUAAUAAUAAUUUGUUGGCAAGGCCUUCCCUGAGAACUGUGAGCAGCAUAGAACUGUGCCACAAUAUAAAAUAUAGAUAAAAGAGUGCUAUAUAUAACAAAUGAUUUUAAAAUGGUCAAGCUAGCAGACAGAAAUGAACUGAAUUGUGAAAAUGUCUCAGCAGCACAGCAGUUAAGUCACUCAAGUGCACAUUUUUAGAUCUGAAUGUUGGCUUGACAUACAGAGAUGAAGGCCCAGCAGAUAAUCGAGUUCAAGGUCAUCCCAUGGCAAAACCAUGCUUUAUACUAAAUGUUUUCCUCAUAGAAACCUCAGUACGAAGUAUCAGCAAAGUCUCAGCUAAAAGAAAAACAAAUUGUAUGGAACUUUAAAUAUUUAUACAUCUAUAAAAAGAAAUGUUAAGGUGAAUCGAUUUAUUAUUUUUUUUUAAUCCAACGGCAGCUGUUAAGCUGUGGUUAUUGAUUUAAAUACUAAACCUUGCCACUUGAACCUGCUAUACAGGAAUGUUGAUUGUUAAAUUUGACUAACAUAAACUGACAGAAUGAAAUAAAAACAUGUGCGGAAUCCUCAUUCAUUUUCCCACUGAUAAAUACAAGAGUAAAAAUUCUUCCACUGACAAAACAAGAAGCAGCAUAGCUUAGAGAAAAGACUUCCCUUUUUUUUUUUUGGACAAAAUUUUGAUUUCCUUCUGCAACCCAUGUUACACACAACUGAAAAUGUUACCAACAGAGGGCGGCAAUUUGACUUCUAUUUAUGGGCAUUUAUUUAUUUGUUUAUUCAUUCAUUUAGUGUGCUUCUGUGCUGUCCACCCGUAUUCAAACACAGUCUGUGCCUCAGAUUUUCCUUCAUUUGCAAACGACCUCUGAUGGUGUUUAGUAUUUCAUAGCAGUGUGUAGUUAGAUGAUAAUGUCAGUGUAAACACUGAUUUGUUUGUGAAAUCUGUCAACAAACACACAAAAGGGUUAUACUCUUGACUGAGUUGGAAGUUUGCAAGCUAUUUAGGGCUAAAAAUGAGACAAGGCAAUUUGUUACCCUGCAGUACCUUCAACUUGAAAAUAAAUCAUUAUGGCUUCUGUAUUAGCCACGGUGUUACUGUCAUCGGUCUCGUCCUUGUGCACCUUAUUCUGUUUUAAUAUUUUCCACUCAGUGAAUGGCCUACAGGCUAUUGAUUACAGACAGUCUAGACAAUUCAUUAUGGGUUGAAUGGUGACUUGUGCAGAAUGGUUUAGGACAGGUGGAAUUAGUUUGCACUCAAUUUGCGGUGCAAUUAAAAUGUUUUUCCUGUCCAAAAUGUACCUUCCUGGGCUGGUUUAAUAUUUAUGAAAGAACAGAGUUUGUCUUAGGAUGGCUCUGUUUAUUCUUUCUCGUUGUUAUUUAAAUCUUCUUCUGUCAUGCAGGUUUUGUGUCCGAGGUUGCACUCCAGAAAGCCGUUUGUGUCCAGUUAGUCUCUGUUGGUUACAGAUAUUAGCUAACACAUGAGUUAUUGCAGAAUAAUAACACAAAAUUGGAGUCACGCAACCAUAUAAAAUUGUGUAGCACAUCAACAUGCUGAAAAUACCACAACCUUAUAUAUACAGAGUGCAGUCCUAGAGUUAACUGAAGUGGCUCUGUGUUUGGUCAGAUGUUAAGUGCUGAACAUCUUCACCGAGACCUUAUUUGUAUAUGAAGCCCUCUUUUACAAGACCAGUAAAGGCUCAAGUAUUCCACCUGUUCAUGAUCCUGUUCAGUGUCAAAAUACUUUGCCUAAAUAGACCUCCACCCUUGUUAAACCUGCCAGGGAGGCCACACCACACUCUACCACCAUUUCACCACAUCGGUGCCAGGGAAUGUCAUUGUUCUGUUUUAUCUCAAGGACAUUUCGGCAUAGAUUUGGCGUCCUGAUAAUGAGCAAAGCUAUUUGGAAACCUAGAUAGAGCCACCACCCAGCGUACCAUCCAUAGGUGCCAAAGGUGAGACACACCUUGAAACUCACAGUCACAGUUUGGCAUUUAAUCAGCAUGUUGAUUUGCAGCUGAAAACAUACAGUAUGUGCUCAAGCAUGUUGUUACACUUAAAUAGUAAGCUUCCUUACUUUGUAGGUGUCUACAACAACAACAACAAAGUGUACUCAUUUACACCCUCAAUAAAAAUUCGGUACAUACUGUACUGGAGCUCAUAUUCAGGGAAAAUGACACGUUGUGGUGAUCUGGGAGCAGCUACAACAAGGCCGUCUUUCUACUUCCUCAUACUUCACGCUUCACAUACUUUUAGUUAAAAAGAAACAACAGCGAAGACGACAUCUUUGUGUCGUCCCCCGUAAUGUUUCAUGUUCUGGACAGCCAUUAAAAUUAAAAUAGCUAACAAACUACCCAAAGCUUGCAACAUUUUGUAACGCACACUAAGUUUGCAAUGCAGAGAGCUUCUCGCUUCUCAUCUUCAAAACUGGCCGCAGGCAGAUUUGACAAGUACAGACAAUAACGUUGCUUUGUCAGAUAUUCUUAUCUCUUUUUUUGGUUAUUUGGUCUUUGGUCUUAAUUUGUCAGUUAUUGCGCCGAAAAUAACUUGUUUUUUGUGGCUGUGCAGUAUGUCAGUGACUACAUUAGUGUUACAUGUUUCAUAGAAACUCACAUGAAAUGAUCGCAGACAAGCCAGGCGAGAGAUAAAAUAAGCCUAUUCUCAUACUGUCGAAUGUUUCUCCUCCUUCUUCUUCUCCUUCCUUUCAGGCUGGGACUCCUCUCUAUUUCUACUUAAGUGUUAUCAGACUCUGCAGAAACUAUAAAACUGUACUUAUUUUAUUCAGGUCAUGUUUCAUAUGUGAGGUAAAAGGAAUACUGUAGCUCUAGUGCGUUACAGAAUAGCACCAACUGUUCCAUGAGUCAUACACCAUCUGAGGUUAACGAUGUUAGAGAAGGAAAAACAAAGAAGAAUCUGUAAAAAAAAAAAAUCAGUUGCUUGUUUUGUCAGUUUUAACUCAUCGCUAGUUUGAUUUACCCUCAUGCUGCGGUACUGCUUUUACCUCAACCUUGUGACGAAAGUGACGAAUCAGGUUUACUUUGCUGGGUAGGAAUUAAGCAAUAACUGAUACAGCAGAGAGAACAAAGGACAGUAAUUUACUCAUAAAACAACUUACAGAUGCAUGUGUCUGUGGUUAAACUCGUUUGCAUAUAUCUGAUUCAUAUGCACUAAGGAAUUGAUACCACAGUAAAUACUCGAAAUGAACCGCAUCUUGAGACUGAAUUUGUGAUAGUCUGAAACAGGGACAGCGACCAGAGUUAAACCAAAACCCUGCCUCUCUCUUGUAUCUUUUAGAAAGACAAUCGAGGUAACAUAAAUGAGUGCUGUCUUUUCGGGAACGCGGUCCAAGUGGUAUAAAUGAUUAAAAGUCUUCUUCACUUGUCUUUCAGCUCACAAGGGCCCCUGUCUGUGUCAGCCUUGUAGAUGAGAUAUAAGAAUAAUGUGCUACCGCUCUCAACAGAUUGUUCCUCACCUCCAUGCCUCGUGAUGUUAACGUGGCGAUGCGUAAAUCUUAACGUCACCCAGUUGUUCCAAAGAAGGUAAAAAGUCUGAAGAGUUAAAAAUUACAACAGAUGAAGUCACAGAGCAGAGGAUUUUCCGCUGGGGAUGCAGUUUGAGUCAUCAUCUUAUCAUUACCGUCAUUGUGUAAAUCAUGUUAGUAAGUGGAACGCCUUCAGCCCCCUGACCAUGCCUCCCUUUAGAGCUUUCAUGGAUGACCUGAUAAUAAGAGCCCUGGCUUUGUUGCCUCUUCUAAAGGCCUUGGGAAGCUCAGCGUUUGUAUAUGGCUGUUCUUCAAGUCAGUAAACUCCAGGUGUUGAAGGGGGAAAAGUGUCUGAGCAAUUUUACUUCUCCCCAGGAACCACGGACAUUCAUCCUUCAAUAACUCCUCUGUCAGAAGCUUGACCAGGACCCUGGAUGGCCUUACAGGUGUCGGAGCUGGAGCAGGUGGUAGCGGGUAUGAGAACGAACGCCAGAGCAAUUCAAAGCCUGGACCUCGACAUCUUCCCAUUUGUCCUGCUGUCAACUGCUGGGGGCUUUGAGGGGAAGGCUGCUUUCUAUUUCUGCACAUGGCCAAUUCGACCACAACCUGAAUUGUUUUGUAUGGCCAGAAGUAGAAGGUUAAACCAUUAUUCUUGAAAUUACUCAAGGGCCUCAUUCAUUUAGCACAAUGCUGAUGCCCCUUGGAUGAUGGAUGUACAAGUUACGAGGAUAAACCUAAGUAGCGCUAGAAUGAGUGUUGUUUUUUAACUUCAUAGGCCGUCCAGCCUUUGUGUAGUGAGUGUUUCCCAGAGCUUGGGAAUUUACUUGAAUGUGUGUCCAAAUAGACAAUGGUUUAAAGAUAAUCAGCUAUUAACACAAUACAUUACACUUCACAUUUCACAAUAUAAGAGAUCGAAACACUUCACUUUUGCUUUUAGUCUAGAGCUGUUCUCUUUAACUUGAUGUUGUGCGCCUGUUUGCACAUUUGGCCUUCCCUCUUGGAAGACUUAAUUUACCUUGCUUUGGAAAAAUAAAUACAUAAAAAAUCGGA